CAAUGGGGCACAAUGGUGGCACAGUGGGGGACAAUGGGACACAAUGGGGGCACCAUGGGGACACAAUGGGGGCAUGGCCAUCAAUGGGGCACAAUGGGACACAAUGGGGAGGGACAUAACCAUCAAUGGGACACAAUGGGACACAAAGGGGCACAAUGGGGGCACAGUGGGGGACAAUGGGACACAAUGGGGCACAAUGGGACACAAUGGUGACACAGUGGGGGACAACGGGACACAAUGGGGGCACAGUGGGGCACAACGGGGGCACGGCCAUCAAUGGGGCACAAUGGGACACAAAGGGGCACAAUGGGGGCACAGUAGGGACACAAUGGGGCACAAUGGGACACAAUGGGGGCACAGUGGGGGACAAUGGGACACAAUGGGGGCACCAUGGGGGCAUGGCCAUCAAUGGGGCACAAUGGGACACAAAGGGGGCACAAU
rnacentral:lncRNA from 1 species